AAGAACAAAAACGAACAAAUUUUACCUCAUUGGAUUCCGUAUCUCGAUCUUCAUUCGAUGCACUCAUUUUUUUUUUGCAAAUGGCUACAAUAACAUGAGUUUUGGAAUGAUUUCUAAUAUAAAAGCUAAAAUUGUAGAGAGAGAAAGAAAGAUAUAGAGUGAAUUUUUUAAAACGACAUUCGUAAUUUUGCUACCGCGAAUAGCAC
rnacentral:lncRNA from 1 species